UGCGUCGUGACUGCGUGCCUUUUGAAGAAUGAGCCUGCGAGUUAGCGGUGUGUAGCGAGGUUAACCCGUGUGGGGAAGCCGUAGCGAAAGCGAGUCCGAACAGGGCGAUUCGAGUUGCACGCUCUAGACCCGAAGCGGAGUGAUCUAGCCAUGGGCAGGUUGAAGCGGCUGUAAGAGGUCGUGGAGGACCGAACCCACCAGGGUUGAAAACCUGGGGGAUGACCUGUGGUUAGGGGUGAAAGGCCAAUCAAACUCCGUGAUAGCUGGUUCUCCCCGAAAUGCAUUUAGGUGCAGCGUCGUGUGUUUCUUGCCGGAGGUAGAGCACUGGAUAGGCGAUGGGCCCUACCGGGUUACUGACCUUAGCCAAACUCCGAAUGCCGGUAAGUGAGAGCGCGGCAGUGAGACUGUGGGGGAUAAGCUCCAUGGUCGAGAGGGAAACAGCCCAGAGCAUCGACUAAGGCCCCUAAGCGUACGCUAAGUGGGAAAGGAUGUGGAGUCGCAGAGACAACCAGGAGGUUGGCUUAGAAGCAGCCACCCUUGAAAGAGUGCGUAAUAGCUCACUGGUCUAGUGAUUCCGCGCCGACAAUGUAGCGGGGCUCAAGCGUACCGCCGAAGUCGUGUCAUUGCAGCAUGAGGGCCAACGCCCGCUGUGAUGGGUAGGGGAGCGUCGUGUGCCGGGUGAAGCAGCCGUGGAAGCGAGUUGUGGACGGUUCACGAGUGAGAAUGCAGGCAUGAGUAGCGAUUCACACGUGAGAAACGUGUGCGCCGAUUGACUAAGGGUUCCUGGGUCAAGCUGAUCUGCCCAGGGUAAGUCGGGACCUAAGGCGAGGCCGACAGGCGUAGUCGAUGGAUAACCGGUUGAUAUUCCGGUACCCGCUGUGAAGCGUCAAACAUUGAAUCCAGUGAUGCUAAGCCCGUGAAGCCGUUCCGGACCCUUCGGGGAAUGGAAAGUGGUGGAGCCGGUGGCCCGAGCUGGUAGUAGGUGAGUGAUGGGGUGACGCAGGAAGGUAGUCCAUCCCGGGCGGUGGUUGUCCCGGGGUAAGGGUGUAGGCCGUGCGAUAGGUAAAUCCGUCGUACAUGUGGCUGAGACCUGAUGCCGAGCCGAUUGUGGUGAAGUGGAUGAUCCUAUGCUGUCGAGAAAAGCCUCUAGCGAGUUUCAUGGCGGCCCGUACCCUAAACCGACUCAGGUGGUCAGGUAGAGAAUACCGAGGCGUUCGGGUGAACUAUGGUUAAGGAACUCGGCAAAAUGCCCCCGUAACUUCGGGAGAAGGGGGGCCAUGUCUGGUGAUGAGUCUUGCACUCUGAGCUGGGUGUGGCCGCAGAGACCAGCGAGAAGCGACUGUUUACUAAAAACACAGGUCCGUGCGAAGCCGUAAGGCGAUGUAUACGGACUGACGCCUGCCCGGUGCUGGAACGUUAAGGGGACCGGUUAGUCACAUUUCGGUGUGGCGAAGCUGAGAACUUAAGCGCCAGUAAACGGCGGUGGUAACUAUAACCAUCCUAAGGUAGCGAAAUUCCUUGUCGGGUAAGUUCCGACCUGCACGAAUGGCGUAACGACUUCUCGACUGUCUCAACCAUAGGCCCGGUGAAAUUGCAUUACGAGUAAAGAUGCUCGUUUCGCGCAGCAGGACGGAAAGACCCCGGGACCUUUACUACAGUUUGAUAUUGGUGUUCGGUUCGGCUUGUGUAGGAUAGGUGGGAGACUGUGAAGCAUGCACGCCAGUGUGUGUGGAGUCGUCGUUGAAAUACCACUCUGGUCGUGCUGGAUGUCUAACCUGGGUCCGUGAUCCGGAUCAGGGACAGUGUCUGAUGGGUAGUUUAACUGGGGCGGUUGCCUCCUAAAGAGUAACGGAGGCGCCCAAAGGUUCCCUCAGCCUGGUUGGUAAUCAGGUGUUGAGUGUAAGUGCACAAGGGAGCUUGACUGUGAGACCGACGGGUCGAGCAGGGACGAAAGUCGGGACUAGUGAUCCGGCGGUGGCUUGUGGAAGCGCCGUCGCUCAACGGAUAAAAGGUACCCCGGGGAUAACAGGCUGAUCUUCCCCAAGAGUCCAUAUCGACGGGAUGGUUUGGCACCUCGAUGUCGGCUCGUCGCAUCCUGGGGCUGGAGUCGGUCCCAAGGGUUGGGCUGUUCGCCCAUUAAAGCGGUACGCGAGCUGGGUUUAGAACGUCGUGAGACAGUUCGGUCCCUAUCCGCUGUGCGCGUAGGAAUAUUGAGAAGGGCUGUCCCUAGUACGAGAGGACCGGGACGGACGAACCUCUGGUGUGCCAGUUGUUCUGCCAAGGGCAUGGCUGGUUGGCUACGUUCGGGAGGGAUAACCGCUGAAAGCAUCUAAGCGGGAAGCCUGCUUCGAGAUGAGUAUUCCCACCUCCUUGAGAGGGUAAGGCUCCCAGUAGACGACUGGGUUGAUAGGCCGGAUAUGGAAGCCCUGUAAGGGGUGGAGUUGACCGGUACUAAUAGGCCGAGGGCUUGUCCUCAGUUG
rnacentral:rRNA from 1 species